rnacentral:lncRNA from 1 species
AAAGUGCACAGCAAUGCCAGUUUCUACAGUCCUGAUUCUACCGUUAUUCUAAAUCUAUGAAACGGGAUAAGACUGAAACUGGUUUGGAGGUCGUACGUCUGUAGACAUUCAGGCUCCUAUUGACCUGGAAGUUCUCACUCUGACCAUCUCACAGAACCACCAAAGCAACAGCGAGCAGCCCUCCGAACGGGGUCACCACUGGGUGCCAUUGAGGUGCCCACUGGGCGCCAACCCUGGUUCUACUCCUAGAGAAUACAAUUCUUCUAAAAGCAGGCUGGGCCUAGACACACUUGAUCUUCAACCUUGUCCCCAGCAAUUUUUCUAAGAACUUGAGUUUUUGAUAAAAGGCCUACAUCCUGCAGAAAAAUAAAGCUUUUCAUCUUGGAGGCAGGUGAAAUCUGCCAAUGCUGAGAGUAGACAACGCUUUUAUUUUUGUUCUCAGGGAUCCCAGCAGCCAAUGAAAACUAGACAGUGACAGAACUCCACCCAAACAUCCUGAACGGUGUCCGAUACUCCCUGUUUUAUUGUUCACUUGACGGAAUGUUGGCCACAAGCACUUAGAGAAGAGUAUACAGUGGGUGAAGGCCCAGUGUCUAUGAAGACGCUCAGAAACAGUAACAACUCAAACAAACCUUCAACCCACAACUCCAGCUCUUCCCACGUGACAACACUGCCAAGUGUACAGAGCCACACAAAACCCUGUGACCAAACACUUAGACAUGGAGAAACAGAGGCCAGAUUUAGGAAUCAGACAACCUACUAGAGGGGGGCAGGAGGAACGAAUGUACUAGAAUUUAAAGAAAGCAGACUGGCUUCUGUGCACACGGUAAGACUUUGUGAGGAAGGAAGAGACAAGUGGCCUGACGGUCCUUAGAGACUGGGCGGGCUCGGGAGACCCAGGGAGGAAGGCAGCUCAGGGUGAGGGGCCAGUGUGGAAUGCGUCCCCAGGUGGACACGCACAGGCAAGACCUGGAGAGGGUGCCCAGGCCAGCCUCGACAGCGCGGAUGGCUUCCGUAGGAUUUGAUAAACACAUUUGAAAAACUGGUGCUAAACUGGAAGCUUAGAAUCCCAGGUAAGGAACACAGACUAAGGAAGGAAUGUCACAAGAGCAUUUACUAAUAAGCCCGAGAGAGUGCCGGAAAGACAGAAAGUCUUUAGCAUUGAACAAAAAGAAUCAUUUUCACUGGACAAAAGCAAAGGUCUUUGACACAACUGUCAGGCCCUCUGAAACGAUUCGGCAAACCAGUAAAAGUCAUUAGGGGCAUUUCAGUAGUGUGAGUGGUAAACGAUGUCCAGCAGAAUUUUAAGGCAAGAGUGGUCGUAGGAGGGAUCUGUAGCCACUGAGAUGAGCUUCUGUGAAAUAAAGCUUUCUCUGAGCAAAACCAACGAUCCUUUAGAGAAAAACAGGAAGAUUAAAAAAAAUUAGGAAAUGCAUUUUCAAAAAAUUCUACCAAGGCAUCUCACUUUUCCUGAUGAUAAAGCCACUAAAAUUUGCUUCUGAGGUCAAUACCGCCAACAUUUCCACCAUGCUUUUUAAAAAGGAAAGCCGGGUGGGGCUCAGGUACUGGCUUGGCUCCUGGCCCCCUUCAGUCUUCUCUAGCUCCCUUUACUCAACUCCAAGUACGUCUGUGCACGGACGAUGAGAUGAAACAUGCUAAAUGCGAAAGCACAAAUUAUAUAUUGAGAAAUCACUACAAUGCCAAAUUUUUUUA